rnacentral:SRP_RNA from 1 species
GCCAGGCGCAGUGGUGGGUGCCUGUAAUCCCAGCUACUCGGGAGGCUGAGGCAGGAGAAUUGCUUGAACCCGGGAGGCGGAGGUUGCAGUGAGCUGAGAUCGUGCCACUGCACUCCAGCCCGGGUGACAGAGCCAGACCCUGUCUCAA